UGCCGCGUGAGUGAAGAAGGCCUUCGGGUUGUAAAGCUCUUUUGUCAGGGAAGAAAAGGCUACGGAUAAUACCUGUGGCUCAUGACGGUACCUGAAGAAUAAGCACCGGCUAACUACGUGCCAGCAGCCGCGGUAAUACGUACGGUGCAAGCGUUAAUCGGAAUUACUGGGCGUAAAGCGUGCGCAGGCGGUUUUGUAAGACUGUCGUGAAAUCCCCGGGCUCAACCUGGGAAUGGCGAUGGUGACUGCUAGGCUAGAGUUUGGCAGAGGGGGGUAGAAUUCCACGUGUAGCAAUGAAAUGCGUAUAUAUGUGGAGGAACACCGAUGGCCAAGGCAGCCCCCUGGGUCAGAACUGACGCUCAUGCACGAAAGCGUGGGGAGCAAACAGGAUUAGAUACCCUGGUAGUCCACGCCCUAAACGAUGUCUACUAUUUGUCGGGUUUUAAUUGACUUGGUAACGCAGCUAACGCGUGAAGUAGACCGCCAGGGGAGUACGGUCGCAAGAUUAAAACUCUGAGGAAUUGACGGGGACCCGCACAAGCGGUGGAUGAUGUGGAUUAAUUCGAUGCGACGCGUACAACCUUACCUACGCUUGACGUGGAUGGAAUCCCCGAGAGAUU
rnacentral:rRNA from 1 species